UACACAUUUUGUAGACCUUUAGGAACAGAAAUUGCAUUCCACACACACACACACACACACAUAUGUAUAUAUAUAUAUAUUUAUAUGUAUAUAUGCUGGCAUUAAGAGUUUUAUAAUGCCUAUUCACAUUAUGAAAAUAGGAAUGCAUUCAAGAUAUAUAAACAUUUUAAUAGUUAGACAGACAGACAGAUGAAAGGCAGACAGACAGACAGACAGACAGACAGAUAGAUAGAUAGAUAGAUAGAUAGAUAGAUAGAUAGAUAGAUAGAUAGAUAGAUAGAUAGGCAGGCAGGCAGACAGACAGACAGACAGACAGACAGACGCCCCCACCCCGACCCAUAAUUCACACUCUGUAUGGACACAUCUUAUGUGUAGACCUCACCAGUGUUUAAUAGCAAAUUCUUAGUCCCAUGUUAAUAUAAACUCAUAUAACCACUAUACCUGAUUAUUAUCUAUUGUCUGAAUCUACAUUAUGUCUAAUUACGAUAUUAUUACCCAAUUCAGAUGACAAUUCCUACAUUAAGGAUCAAGUUUGUCACAUAAACUCUUUGCAUGUUUUAUCUCUUCUCCAAAUGCUCAAUGCUGCCCAGGUCUAUUAAAUACAGUUAUUAGCUUUUGCACGAAUCUAUUUCCAUGCCGACUAAACAAAGCUGUGAUUUUUCCCCCCACGACGCUGCUGUAUUAGGGCAAUGUGACGUCAUGGACUGUAUGUGACUGUACGCAGCGCGUGCCGCGGAGCGCGUGCUCCGAGCACAUGGAAAAAGGCUCGAGACGAAGUACCCAAAGAAAAACUCCAUACUGAAAUGGAAUAUCAUUCACAAAAUAAUCAAAUCUGGAGCAAAAGGGGUGAUUUGCAUUUAACAUCGUUGGACAAGAAAGUUUCACAGUUUAAUAAGACUCUUAUUGCUAACUUGGACACCUUUGCUCCUCUGAAGACACACAAGGUUACGUAUGCUCGUUCUGCACCAUGGUAUAAUGACAAUCUGCGUAUUAAGAAGGCUGCCUGCCAGAAAAUGGAGCGUAAAUGGUGUCUCACUGGCUUGAAUGUAUACUAUCUAACUUGGAAUGAUCUUCUGGGUGAUUACAGAGCACUAAUUAAGACUGCAAGAUCUGCUUAUUUCUCUCAGACUAUUGAAAACAACCAAGGAAACCCGAGACACUUGUUUCAAACUAUAAAUUGUCUGCUCCAAGUUAAUGCUGUUUCCACCAUGCCUGUUUCUCAGCAGUUAUGUAAUUAAUUUCUUCAUUUUUUUUAAUUCGAAAGUUGAUAAUGUCCGUAAACAAAUUUCCGUUUCACCUGUUUCUACUACAACAUGUCAACGUUCACCGGAAUUCACUGGUGCUCUUUUUACUAACUUUCCUCAACUUGAUACUGAAACUCUCAAACGGGAGGUAUCUAGCAUGAAAUCUACCACUUCCAUGCCUGACCCUAUUCCCACUAGCUUAUUUAAAUCUUGCUUUUAUGCUUUGUGUCCUGCUGUUCACGGUAUUAUAAAUGACUCCUUACAGACUGGGGUUGUUCCAGCAGCAUUAAAGGUUACUGCUGUAACCCCUAUACCAAAAAAGAAAAUGUUGCACUGGACGACAUGAAUAACUUUCGUCUAAUUUCAAAUCUCCCGUUUUUGGCAAAAUUACUUGAGCGUAUUGUUGCUUCUCAUUUAUGAAACCAUCUCACAGUUAAUAAUCUUUUUGAACCUCUUCAGUCGGGUUUUUGUAAAUUUCACAGUACUGAGACGGCCUUGGUCA
ensembl:lncRNA